rnacentral:tRNA from 1 species
GGGCCCUUAGCUCAGCCUGGUAGAGCAUCUGGCUUUUAACCAGUUGGUCAGGGGUUCGAAUCCCCUAGGGCCCG